GAUGAACGCUAGCUACAGGCUUAACACAUGCAAGUCGAGGGACCGGCGCACGGGUGAGUAACACGUAUCCACCCUGCCCUUUACUCGGGGAUAGCCUUUCGAAAGAAAGAUUAAUACCCGAUAUAAAGGAUGGGGAUGCGUUCCAUUAGGUUGUGGGUGAGGUAACGGCCCACCAAGCCUUCGAUGGAUAGGGGUUCUGAGAGUAAGGUCCCCCACAUUGGAACUGAGAAACGGUCCAAACUCCUACGGGAGGAAGCGGUGAGGAAUAUUUGUGAAAGGGCGUUAGCCUGAACCAGCCAAGUAGCGUGAGGAAUGAAGGCUUAUGGGUAGUAAACUUAUUUUAUAUAAGAAUAUGUAUUAUAUGAAUAAGGAUCGGCUAACUCCGUGCCAGCAGCCGCGGUAAUUC
rnacentral:rRNA from 1 species